GACGAACGCUGACGGCGUGCUUAACACAUGCAAGUCGAACGGUAAGGCCCUUCGGGGUACACGAGUGGCGAACGGGUGAGUAACACGUGGGUGAUCUGCCCUGCACUUCGGGAUAAGCCUGGGAAACUGGGUCUAAUACCGGAUAGGACCACUGCCUGCAUGGGUGGUGGUGGAAAGCUUUUGCGGUGUGGGAUGGGACCGCGGCCUAUCAGCUUGUUGGUGGGGUGAUGGCCUACCAAGGCGACGACGGGUAGCCGGCCUGAGAGGGUGACCGGCCACACUGGGACUGAGAUACGGCCCAGACUCCUACGGGAGGCAGCAGUGGGGAAUAUUGCACAAUGGGCGCAAGCCUGAUGCAGCGACGCCGCGUGAGGGAUGACGGCCUUCGGGUUGUAAACCUCUUUCAGCACCGACGAAGCGCAAGUGACGGUAGGUGCAGAAGAAGGACCGGCCAACUACGUGCCAGCCGCCGCGGUAA
rnacentral:rRNA from 1 species